GACAGAGGACACAAGCAUUGCUCGGAAUUAUUGGGCGUAAAGGGUACGUAGGCUGAUGUAUAAGUUUAUAGUGAAAUCUUGAAAGGUAAAUUCAAAACUGCUGUAAAUACUAUAUAUCUAGAAAUUGGGAGAGGUAAAUGGAAUUCUUGUAGGAAGGGUCAAAUCUAUAUAUCACAGGAGGAACACCAAAGGCGAAGGCAAUUUACUGGAACAACUUUGACGCUGAGGUACGAAAGCGUGGGUAGCAAACAGG
rnacentral:rRNA from 1 species